UACCACAUUGACAUGAUUUCAUCGUACGUAUAAAUCUUUUACUAGAAAAAUAAACUAAUGCAAGACAAAAAGGGUGCACAGGCAAAGGCGGAAUCCACACGCUCUUGAAGAAACAAAAAAAGGAAGAGAGCCUGGCAACGAAGUAAAAACAAGUUUACCAAAAACAGCACUGGGGACUUCUAACUACAAACAUACACCUCUAGGAAACACAAAAGAUAACCUGACACAGACAAGUGGGGAACUGAGGCUUAAAUACAGGUGGAGGUGAUUGCAAACUAAACUCAGCUGUGGGGAGAAACAAAGGGUGAGAAACUAGAUACAGGAAGUGCCGUGGUUACAAAAAUAAAAACAGGAAGUUAAUCUUCACAGUCUCUUCGAGUCGUCACAAGAUGCAUACAAAGAUAUGCCAACUACACGAGUAAUUGUGGAAGGGAAAGAAUUGGCGUUUUUAGUAGACUCCGGAGCUACUCAUUCAGUAAUUCAAGAAAAACCUUUUCCAAAUCAAAAAAUGAGUGGGCGGUAUGUAUAUUCUCAAGGGGCUUCAGGUUUGACUGUGACAGGAAAAUUUACUGCACCUAUGACGACAGUACACUCUGACGAGACUGACCUAAACCCUGACAUAAAAGUAAAACAUUCUUUUUUACUCUCUUCACUCUGUCCCAUAAAUCUGAUGGGCAGAGACUUGAUGUGUACAUGUGGUAUUUGUUUGACGUCAUCUCCAGACGGCCUUAAAGUGGUUCGGCGUAGAUCCGCACUCCAAAUGGUGCAAAAGGCUCCCUCUAAUCCUCUUUUUGUGUAUCAGUGGUGGAUCCCGAUCGAUGAUGCUCGGAGGCUGAGCCAGGCUGGUGAAGCACGGGUUUCUCCUCAUGCAGACAAAGAACUGUUUCAAGUUCCCGGCUCCCAGUGUCUCACUGUCUAAAGGACGCCUUGACCAAUGGAGGGAUUUGGGACCAUUUGUGGCUCAGUGUGAAUCUCUCACUGACUGGGAGGAGACAAUCGAUCCGCUCGUUCUGCGCUCCGCCUCUACAGGGUUUCACAGAACUCACUGUGUACACGGUGGCGUAUUUCUCCGCUAAACUCGACCCUGUCGCUGCAGGACUGCCACAAUGUUAGCGCGCUGUGGCCGCGCCUGAAGAGGCGCUCACUGCCUCACGUGACAUAGUGGGUUACGCACCACUCACUCUGCUCGUUCCGCACGCGGUUUCUUUGAUUCUCCUCGAACAGAAAUCAUCUCACCUCUCUGCGGCUCGCUAUUUGCGUUACCACACGUGUCUCCUGGACAUGCCGAAUGUCACUAUAAACGUUGUACUAACCUAAACCCUGCAUCAUUACUUCCUAUUCCUGGGGAUGGGGAGGACCACAACUGUUUGGCUGAGCUCCAAGCUCAGUGCACUCCUCGCCCUGACCUAGUGGACACUCCAUUGCCUAACAGCGACAUGGUCCUCUGCCAUGUCACCUCUCAGCCCAGGCAGCCGAGCUCAUCGCUCUGACCGAGGCCUGUAAACUGGCUACGGGUAAAACAGUCACAGUUCACACUGACUCUCGCUAUGCGUUUGGUGUAGUACAUGAUUUUGGGGUGCUGUGGAAACACAGGAACUUCUUUAAAUCGGACGGUUAGCCCAUCCUACAUCACACUCUCAUUGCUGAGCUGUUGGAAUCCAUCUUGCUACCCACAGCUAUUGCUGUCUGUAAAUGUGCUGCCCACACAUCCGAUACGGAUGAUGUAUAUGUGAUGCUCGAGCAGACUCGGCUGCAAAAGCUGCUGCUCUGCUUUCGCUUCCCACUACCUGUGCUCUCGUGUGCUCUGAGGAGUCAGUUCCUCUUCUCUUACAGCGAUGCAGUCACGCUCUGAAAGACGGCUUUGGUCCACAUCUGGCUGUGUUUACACCAACGGUAUCUGGACUGGACCCGACGGCAAGCUGUGUUUACCUAAACACUAUUUUGCUCAUUAUGCUAAAUUGACUCAUGGAUUAGACCAUGUGUCAAAAGGGGGAAUGUUACGUGCACUUAAAUAGACGUGGUUUACAAAAGGGUUCACAGCAUAUGCACAAAAAUUCUGUUCUGCAUGUGUCACCUGUUCUACUCACAAUGUAGGCAGGCCCGUGGGCGUGUCCAGCCAGGCUGCACACCCACCACCAACCCGCCCAUUUGAGCACAUUAUGAUGGAUUUUGUGGAGUUGUCUCCAUCACAAGGUAAGAAACACUGUCAAGUGAUGAUAGACAUGUUUUCCAAGUGGGUGGAGGUUUUUCCA